AGAUUUGAGGGAAAGAUUAAAAACAAGGAGGUCUGGGAACGACUGAAGGGAACUGACAGCAGUGAGGGAAGGAAGUUAUCACCAGAAUCUCAGAGGAUGUUAACAGUGCAGGUCCAGGAUGAAGAAGAGGAGGAAGAACACGUUUAACAAUUUUCUCAUAAGCUUGCCAUGUGUUAUAAUAAAAACAAUGAACAUGA